ensembl:lncRNA
GCUGGGCGCGGCCGUGGUGAGGUCGGUGCGGUUGUAGUCCAUGCACAGCGUGUCGGGGUUGCCCUGCUCGGGCAGCCGGUCGCAGCGCAUGCGGUCAGGCCAGGCGAAGCCGUACUGGCGCAUGAGGGGCGCGCAGCCGGCCUUGGCGCGCUCGCACACCGAGCGGCAGGGAGGCAGGGGCUUCUUGUAGUCCUCCAGACAGAUGGGUGUGUACAUGCUGCACAGGAAGAACUUGAGGUCGGGCGAGCACUGGAUCUCCACCAGCGGCCAGAAUUGGUGCACCUCCAGGCCCGCCUCGUCCUGCGUGUCGUGGUUGAACUGGUUGGGCAUGUAGGUGUAGUUGUAGCCGAUGCCCUUGCACAGCGGCACGGUGAUCUCCUGGCACGCCAGCUCCUUGGCCGAGGCGGCCGCCGCGCCGCUCGAGCGCUGCAGCAACGCCAGGGCGGCCAGCAACGAGGUCACUUCCAACAGGAUAAUUGCUAUUGGAUGUUGGGCAAGGACCUGCUGAUGACAAUGUGGCCACAGGUAAGCAUGGAUGCGGCCCCCUGUGUAUGUGUGUAUUGUCUUUUACAUAUUGAUUAUUAUAGUGUUUUAAAGGUUGAAAGUAAUAGCAUUUUUUUCCUCUUUUCCACAUUGCUCCCAGCUUUAUUUUUCACCAUUCGAAGCAUGAGUAAGAAAUAAUGCUUAAUGUUUCAGUGUGAUUGAGGAAAAUACCAAGAUUUGUAUUUCAAAUCAUGGUUUAAAGAAAAAUGGCGCUCCAGGCAUUAAUUAAUAUUAGAGCCAUGGAAAGAUCAGAAAUGAAUUUAGCCUCCUGGUGCAACUAAUGGUAUUUUGAGUUAUAUUUUGAACAAUGAAAGUGAGGUGACUCUUGAGGUUCUGCUAGAAGAGAAGGAAAGUUCCUGUAUCUCUGAGGACUGUCAGAAGAUUUCUCAUCCUGGUGGAAGCAGCAGAGGUGAAUUAGGAGAGGCUGUGGGAGGAGUGAUGCCACAGGCCACUUUUGUGUGUGUAUGUGUGUGUGUCUUUUUAGGGUGGUACUGGCUACAUGUGGAGGUUCCCAGGCCAGGGGUCGAAACGGAGCAGUAGCCGCUGGCCUACACCACAGCCACAGCAAUGCCAGAUCCGAGCUGUGUCUGCAACCUACACCACAGCUCAUGGCAACACUGGAUCCUUAAUCCAUUGAGCGAGGCCAGGGAUUGAACCUGCAUUCUCAUGGUUACUAGUCAGAUUCCUUUCCCCUGAGCCACGACGGGAACUCCCACACGGGCCACGUUCAACCACAGAACAAGGUCCAUCCAUUCAUUCAUCAAAUGUGUGGCACUUGCAGAGUGGGAGCAUGCAAGGCACAGCCUCCAUGCUCAUGGGUACAUGCUGCUCAGGAGAGGCCCCUGGGGCCGUGCUUAUGACCGCCUCCUGCUGGGAGGUUCAGAAAGCUGCCUUGGGGAGACAACACUCUUAAUAGCCUAGGGAUGAAAGAUAGUCAAGGAAGACAGGAGAGAACAGAGUGCCCCUUGCAGAGGAGAGAGCAAGGGGGCAAUGUGUUUGGAGCAAGAGAAGGGCAGGGGCUGCCAGCAGGGGUGGGGGGACCCAGAGACUGGGGAGACCUUCAGACCCCUGGAGAAAACCCAUGAUUGCAAGAGACGAGUUGGAAUCAUCUUUCCCAAUCUAAUGGGAAGAGGGGGGCUAACAGGCACAUUUAGAAGGGGAGAUGGGGAGCUCCUGUGGUGGUUCAUUGGGUUAAGAACCCAACAUAGUGUCCACGUGGUUGCAGGUUCGAUCCCUGGCCUCGCUCAGUGGGUUAAGGAUCCAGCAUUGCCAUGAGCUGUGGUGUUGGUGGAAGACACAGCUCGGAUCUGGUUUUCCUGUGGCUGCGGCUGUAGCUCUGAUUCGACCCUUGGCCUGGGAACUUCCAUAUGCUGCAGGUGUGGCCCUAAAAAAAAAAAAAAAAAAAAAGAAAGGGAGUUGGGGGUCAAAGACCACUAUGGUAACCAUCCUGGUUUCAUUAUCUGUAAAUCGCCCUGAAAGGCCACUGAGAGGCACGGGAAUUAAUCUGCACUGAGGGUUUGGAGCAGUGCCUUGCAUGGCGUAAAUGCUACAGAAUCACUUCUCAUCUUCAUCCCUGUGCUUGGCACUUCCCCAAGGAUACUCAGGCGGGGCAAGCACGCACCACGUCUGGCAGACUCACUCACAAAGGGUAGGUGUUUUUCCCACAUUUCAUUUAAUUCCAUCAUGGUUCCUGGAAAUACAUAUUAUUAUUUGCAUUUGGAGAAAAAAACUUGAAGUUCAGAAAGCACAUCAAACAUUUCACAACUGGUAGAGGCCAGAUUUGAACCAAGAACUGUCGAACUCAGAGUCUCUGCUGCCUCCCAGCUAAGAGCCCUCUGAGGAUUCACUACUGACUAUCAUGGGUUCUAUAUGCAGCCAGCUGAUGAUUAAAGGACCGUGGUCAUGGGCUUGUGUUAGAGGAAACGUUUGAUUUUCCCAGAUUUCUGCUCGUUUUAGGGAAUGAGGAAGAGAAGGGAGAUGAAUGCAAAAUACAAUUUUCACUUUAAUUAUAGUGAAUUUUUUUCCCCUUCAAGAGAUGAAGCACUCCCCAAAUAGUUGAAAAAACAAUGAUUUUCUUAGAAGGGUGUCUGCUCUUCCAAGCUGAAGCGUAUAAAACCCAGAAGGUGUGCUCUCAGCUGACUUGUGAGCUCUCUACAGCUCUGAGUGCAGUAGAUGGGUGUGUGUUGUUCUGCAAAUAGUUCUUUGUGAUGGAAGCAGACAAGUAGGGCUCUACGUCUGCUUUGCUUCCCCAGAAGCUUCGGAGUUAUUGUGCUAGUACAAAAGUGGCUUCCAGAGAAGAACAGACUUGUCCUCCAGCUGCUCCCAGGUGGCCCACUCUGCAGCCAGGUGUGAAGGGCUGGCGAGUUCUUCCUGCAGUUGGAGAUGCAAGAUGUCUCAGGACAUGGUGAGUCGAACAUCAAACUAUGUCUUCCCCAUUUGGCUACGGAGGAUGCUUCUGAAGGAGGAGCAGAUAUCGACUGAAAAUUUCACAGAAGACAAAUGGAUUCACAUUUCCCUGCAGAUUUCUUUCUCUGUGGUCAGAGUUGGAGUUGAGCUGCCCAUUCCUGUCAAUCUCCUCGAGGCCCCAUCCUGAUGCUUCCACCUGCUGGGGAGCCAGGCAUUCCACAUGUCACCUGUCCUGAGGCUGCAGGAAACAACCACGGGCAAAUAAGUCACGGGUCAUAGAUGUACCACGGAAGCGCUUUCCAUGGAAGGUUUUUUUUGCGGGGGGUGGGGGGAGGUUGGGCUGUGCCAUGGCAUAUGGAAGAUCUUAGGGCAGGGAUCAAAUCCGAGCCUCUGCAGCGACCCAGGCUGCUGCAGUGGGAUUCUUAACCCAGGGGGCCACAGCGGGAACUGCCUUCCGUGGAAGUUUUGAAGCAUUUUCAUUAGGGUAGCUUGGCAUGCUGGAAAGGUGGCUGGAAACAGAACUGGAAGAUGCACCUGCUCUUUGCUACCAUAGGGGCCCUUGUCCUCGUCUCUAAAUGCAGGUGUCUGAUUGGACAGUGGGAGAACCCUAUGACCUCUCAUGCCGUUCUUCUCUCUAUGGUCCUUGCGGUGCCCUGACCACCUGCUUCAAGGUUACUCUCACUUUGAAAGUCCAGUUCUUCUAUCCACUUUUUUUUUUUUAAUGGAGAAACGCUCAGAGAGAUUAAGGGGUUUGCCCCAAAUCACGCAACCAGGUUGAGCAGCAGCAGUUGCACUAACAUGUUGAGCCUAAACAUUAGGUUACAUGUCCUAGUAGGACAGUCAUGCUCAGCAGUCUUUCUUUCAGCAGCUGCCUGACUUCAAUAACUUUAUUUCUUUCAACAACUCUUAAUUUACCAAUGUGGUUGGGACAAGCAUAUGGAACACCAAAGGAAGUUACGUGUGGACAAGAAAUGUGCUCUUGAAAAGAUCAUUUUUGUCCCCAAAGUGAUUCUGCCCAGGGUGGAAAUCACAGGUGCCUUAUUUAUCCAGGAGACACUGAUGUUUCUGAAGGCUUCCCGGCAAAGAUCACCCUCCAGAUGACAGGGUCUUAACUCAGCCUCCUGUUCUGUUGUCAGAAUUCCUUCUGGGGAUGGCUUCUUAGAUGUUCUGCUCUGAUGUCCCACUGCCCUCUGCAAGCCUCCAGCUUUAUAUUCUCCCAUCUAGAACCAUCUCGAUCGUGUCCCUCUAUGCUCUACUGAAUAAGUUUUCAUCCCCCUUCCCUCACAAGCUUCUCCCCGCCCCCAGCUCAUCUCUCUGGAAUUGUUCUGAACUUCUAGCCCGUGAUGCUCCAUCUCAUGUUAGACAUGGCAGUCUGUUCUAGGAGGCUGCUUCCUCCAGAAUUAACCUUCCUCCAUCCACGCUGGACUCAUGGGUCUGAUGGAGGUUUUACUCUCUCACAGUCUAGUUGAUCCAUUGCAAGGGACCUGACACAUGAGCCCUGCAUCUUCAGACUCUCUUUGGAUACGAUGAGCCACAGGAGUAUCCUCCUGGGUCGCUGAGGGGUGAAUCUACCUCUGUCCUGGGACCAGAAGGGGAGAUAGCAACAUGUGUGUGGGAGUUUUGGGUUUCUAGUCUUUGGGCUGGAAGAAUAUUACAUCAAGCGGGUUGUGCCAUGAAAAAUGAUCACCCUUAGUUCUCACUGUGGCACAGUGAGAAUCUGUAGUGGGUUAAGAAUCGGACUGCAGUGACUUUAGUUGCUGAGGAGGUAAGUGCAGGUUCAAUCCCUGGCCCAGAGCAGAGGGUUAAAGGAUCUGGAAUUGCAAUAGCUGUGUGCUGCAGCUGUGGCACAGGUUGCAUCUGUGGCUCCAAUUCAGUCCCUGGCCCAGGAACUUCUAGAUGCCACAGGUACAGCCAUUAAAAAAAAAAAAAAAGCAGACAUGGACAGGAUGUUGUAAACCAGCUAUACUUUAAUAAAAACUUUUUUAAAAAAAUUAAAAAAAGAGCA